rnacentral:rRNA from 1 species
CUUGCUUCUCUUGAGAGCGGCGGACGGGUGAGUAAUGCCUAGGAAUCUGCCUGGUAGUGGGGGAUAACGUUCGGAAACGGACGCUAAUACCGCAUACGUCCUACGGGAGAAAGCAGGGGACCUUCGGGCCUUGCGCUAUCAGAUGAGCCUAGGUCGGAUUAGCUAGUUGGUGGGGUAAUGGCUCACCAAGGCGACGAUCCGUAACUGGUCUGAGAGGAUGAUCAGUCACACUGGAACUGAGACACGGUCCAGACUCCUACGGGAGGCAGCAGUGGGGAAUAUUGGACAAUGGGCGAAAGCCUGAUCCAGCCAUGCCGCGUGUGUGAAGAAGGUCUUCGGAUUGUAAAGCACUUUAAGUUGGGAGGAAGGGUUGUAGAUUAAUACUCUGCAAUUUUGACGUCACCGACAGAAUAAGCACCGGCUAACUCUGUGCCAGCAGCCGCGGUAAUACAGAGGGUGCAAGCGUUAAUCGGAAUUACUGGGCGUAAAGCGCGCGUAGGUGGUUUGUUAAGUUGGAUGUGAAAUCCCCGGGCUCAACCUGGGAACUGCAUUCAAAACUGACUGACUAGAGUAUGGUAGAGGGUGGUGGAAUUUCCUGUGUAGCGGUGAAAUGCGUAGAUAUAGGAAGGAACACCAGUGGCGAA